GUGGGGAAUAUUGGACAAUGGGCGAAAGCCUGAUCCAGCCAUGCCGCGUGUGUGAAGAAGGUCUUCGGAUUGUAAAGCACUUUAAGUUGGGAGGAAGGGCAUUAACCUAAUACGUUAGUGUUUUGACGUUACCAACAGAAUAAGCACCGGCUAACUUCGUGCCAGCAGCCGCGGUAAUACGAAGGGUGCAAGCGUUAAUCGGAAUUACUGGGCGUAAAGCGCGCGUAGGUGGUUCAGCAAGUUGAAGGUGAAAUCCCCGGGCUCAACCUGGGAACUGCCUCCAAAACUACUGAGCUAGAGUACGGUAGAGGGUAGUGGAAUUUCCUGUGUAGCGGUGAAAUGCGUAGAUAUAGGAAGGAACACCAGUGGCGAAGGCGACUACCUGGACUGAUACUGACACUGAGGUGCGAAAGCGUGGGGAGCAAACAGGAUUAGAUACCCCAGUAGUCC
rnacentral:rRNA from 1 species